CUUUUACUGAAAUGUUGAUUAAUGUGCACUGUCCCUGUAAAAAUAAAAAUAAACUCAAACUCAAACGAUCCAGAUGGCAGAAUUGAGACUCCAGUGCAUGGGGGUAACAAGAUGAACGCUUUCUACGUUAACUUUAGCAAUCUGUCCACCACCAGACCAGAACACGGUUUGCUGUAACGUUAACUCGUUAGAAGACUUUUACAACCAGGCUUGGAUGCAAACCAUGAAAGUUGAAAAAUACAUGAACUCCUCCGUGACAGGUAGCUUUCUUGCCAGCUAGCUACUAACAUUACUCCUCGUGUGAACCAGAAUAUGGCGUUUAAAAUGAAAAUCGCCAUAUUCAACGUCUCCUGUAAACCCUGCCUGAUUCUGGUUCACUCGUCGUGGUGCCAGAUCCACCACGAAUCAGAAGCCUGUGGUGUAGUGAUGGGCCGUUGGCGAACGAGUCGGAUCUAGAGCAUAUCAGAAGAGACGAAUCUAUUUAUACAAAUAUAAACAAAUGAAGAUAUGAAUAAUCAAAAGAUUUUAAUUAAUAAAACUAAUAAAAAAUAAAUUAAUAAUAAGCCUAAAUGCUCAAGCGCACACACAUUCGUUCUGACCCUCUGCUCAGACUAACAGCCUCACCUGUUCCUGUCAAAUCAGACAGUGUCAACCAAUGACCAAAUAUGCGUGAGGGAGGGCCGAGCCAACUCACUCAGUCACACACUUAGCAGCAGAGGAGAGAGGAAGGACAGCUGUGAAAACAACAGCUGGAAAAUUAGUCGGAAGCACAGUAGCAUUUGGAUGCAUUUUAAUAAUGUAGACAAUGUUAGAGCACGGUGUAGAAUUUGCCAAAACAAAAUCUCAUAUAAAGCCAGUCCUACGCACAGCCUACACCGGCAUAUGCGAACUGUGAAGCUUCGAGAAACUAGCGAGCCUGCUAGUGAUAGUGGUGGAGCCAGCACCUCCACACGUGGAGAUGUAUCCACUCAGUUAAGUAGGCCUACUCCGCAACCCACAGCAACACAGUCUUCUAUGUACCGGUUUAUGCCAAAGUGUGUCUGUAGCAAAACAAGGCCAAAUUGAUAUUGCAUUGGCUAAAAUGAUUGCCGCCGAUUUCCAACCAAUUUCGAUCGUGGAGGACCGAGGUUUUGGAAUUGUGUACAUUGGAUUUAGACUAUCGCUAUCAUUUCUAAGCAGGAAACCCUUUCAAAAUCCCUUAUUCCACAACUGUAAGAGAGCACACAGGCUUCAGUGCGGGAAGGAGUCCAAAAAGCUACUGCAGUUUGCCUGACUGCUGGACAUCAAGGGUAACCAGUUCUUACAUGUUGGUUACAUGUCACUUCAAUGAAGAUUUUUCGAUGUCUAGCUGUCUUCUGGACUGCUUGGAGUUCAGCGACAGACACCUCAGAGAACUUGGCAGAGGAACUGUUGAGAGUGGCCAGAGAAUGGCAAGUAGAUGGAAAAGUAGUCUGUUGUGUUAGCGACAAUGCAGCUAACAUAACCAAAGCCAUAAAUGUUUAAAUGGACCUAUCAUCCAUGUCUUGCCCACACAAUCAAACUGAUUGUAAGAGAUGCUCUGAAGGUGAUGAAGCCCACUGUGGACAAAGUGAAAGCAGCUGUGGAAAACUUCCACAGGAGCACAGUAGGUGCUGAAAAACUAAAGUCUACACAUGCCGGAUGGGGAUGGCUGAGCUGAGGCCUAAACAAGACUGCACUACAAGGUGGAAUUCAAAAUGUUAUAUGUUUAAGCGGUUUCUUGAGUCAAAGGAUGCCAUCAUCUCUACCAUGGCCAUUGUCAAUGCACCCGUUGAUGCUCUGACCCAAGAGGAAUGGGAGGUGGUGGAGGAGGUGUGCAGAGUCCAGGAACCCUUUGAGCAGGUCACUGUGGAGAGGGUCUGCAGCGAAUCACAGCCAGCCGCUAGAGAGAAGCAAAUGUAACCACAGGACAUGCGACAGAGUUGAUGGACACCCUAUUUUCAUCAAUUGACAGAAAGUUCCACAGAAUGGAAUAUAAUCACGUGCUAUCAGAAACCGCUGCACUUGACCCCAGGUUUAAGAAGUUAGCCUUCACUGAUGCCAGAGCGAUUGAUAAGGCUCUUCAAAGAAUAACCUCAGCAGCAGGGAGGGACAGCCCCAGCAGUGAGUUGGCUCAGGCACCAGGGCAACAGGAAGAAGAGGGAUCAGAUGGAGCAGAAGCACCAGCAGUAGUGCCACAAAUGUCUGCUGUUUGACGAGAGAGAAACUGGGGAUGCAGCACGAAGGAAUCCCUCAGCAGAUGCCAUAAUGGAGGUCCGAUCCUAUUUGGAGGAGCCCCUCCUACAAAGAUCUGCAGGUCCUCUGAGCUGGUGGAAGAACAAAGCCUCUGUCUACCCACAGCUUACUAAAGUCAUGACAGGGAGACUCUGCAUAGUGGCCACAUCUGUUCCCUCUGAGAUGGUCUUCUCGAAAACGGGACAAAUAAUUACUAAGAGGAGAAACCGCAUCAGCCCCUCAAGUGAGGCAGCUUGCAUUUCUGAAUGCAAAUCUCUCAUAAAAGUAAAAUAUGGUCAGCAUUGCUGUGUGCUGCUGGUUAUAACAUGGCACUAAAGAAGAGAGAUAAGAGGGACUAGUUUAAUGUUUAAAGUGGGUUGCUGCAAUUAUGCACAUUUAUUUAUUUCUGAUAUGGUGCAAUAUUCUAUUAUUAUGUUGUUCAGAUUGUAUUCGUUUUGAAUGGUUAGAUUUAUAUGCACUUUGUUUAUAUACAUUAGUUAUACUUUAAAUGCAAAUGUUUAGUAGCAUUCUUUUUAAUAAACCAAUGCAUUUUUAAAUA